ACAAGCGGUGGAUGAUGUGGAUUAAUUCGAUGCAACGCGAAAACCUUACCUACCCUUGACAUGUCCGGAAUCCUGCAGAGAUGCGGGAGUGCCCGAAAGGGAAUCGGAACACAGGUGCUGCAUGGCUGUCGUCAGCUCGUGUCGUGAGAUGUUGGGUUAAAUCCCGCAACGAGCGCAACCCUUAUCAUUAGUUGCUACGCAAGGGCACUCUAAUGAGACUGCCGGUGACAAACCGGAGGAAGGUGGGGAUGACGUCAAGUCCUCAUGGCCCUUAUGGGUAGGGCUUCACACGUCAUACAAUGGUCGGUACAGAGGGUUGCCAAGCCGCGAGGCGGAGCCAAUCCCACAAAGCCGAUCGUAGUCCGGAUUGUUCUCUGCAACUCGAGAGCAUGAAGUCGGAAUCGCUAGUAAUCGCAGGUCAGCAUACUGCGGUGAAUACGUUCCCGGGUCUU
rnacentral:rRNA from 1 species